UACGGAGGGUGCAAGCGUUAUCCGGAUUUAUUGGGUUUAAAGGGUCCGCAGGCGGACUUGUAAGUCAGUGGUGAAAGCCUUCAGCUUAACUGGAGAAUUGCCAUUGAUACUGCUAGUCUUGAGUUCGGUUGAAGUGGGCGGAAUAUGUAGUGUAGCGGUGAAAUGCAUAGAUAUUACAUAGAACACCUAUUGCGAAGGCAGCUCACUAAGCCGAUACUGACGCUCAGGGACGAAAGCGUGGGGAGCGAACAGG
rnacentral:rRNA from 1 species